GAUGAACGCUGGCGGCGUGCUUAACACAUGCAAGUCGAACGAAGCACUUAUCUUUGAUUCUUCGGAUGAAGAGGUUUGUGACUGAGUGGCGGACGGGUGAGUAACGCGUGGGUAACCUGCCUCAUACAGGGGGAUAACAGUUAGAAAUGACUGCUAAUACCGCAUAAGACCACGGAGCCGCAUGGCUCAGUGGGAAAAACUCCGGUGGUAUGAGAUGGACCCGCGUCUGAUUAGGUAGUUGGUGGGGUAACGGCCUACCAAGCCAACGAUCAGUAGCCGACCUGAGAGGGUGACCGGCCACAUUGGGACUGAGACACGGCCCAAACUCCUACGGGAGGCAGCAGUGGGGAAUAUUGCACAAUGGGGGAAACCCUGAUGCAGCGACGCCGCGUGAGCGAAGAAGUAUUUCGGUAUGUAAAGCUCUAUCAGCAGGGAAGAAAAUGACG
rnacentral:rRNA from 1 species